AGCUCCAAUAGCGUAUAUUCAAGUUGUUGCAGUUAAAAAGCUCGUAGUUGAAUUUUGGCCCUGCUUAAGCGGUCUAGACGCAAGUUUAGCACUGCUUUGGGUGGGGCUUUCCUUCUAGGGAACUAGUGUGCUCUUUAUUGAGUGCGCUAAGGAUCUAGGACUGUUACUUUGAAAAAAUUAGAGUGUUUAAAACAGGCUUAUGCUUGAAUACAUUAGCAUGGAAUAACGGAAUAGGACUUUGUUUCUAUUUUGUUGGUUUUCAGAAACGAAGUAAUGAUUAAUAGGGAUAGUUGGGGGUAUUAGUAUUCCAUAGUCAGAGGUGAAAUUCUUGGAUUUAUGAAAGACUAACUUCUGCGAAAGCAUUUACCAAGGAUGUUUUCA
rnacentral:rRNA from 1 species